rnacentral:lncRNA from 1 species
UGUCACCAUAGGAACAGCUGUGAUUUAGCAGCAUAUUGCCUUCAGUUAGGGAUCAUGCAAUGAGUUAACAAAGUAUGGCAGCUUCAGAUGCUGAUGUGAAUAGGAAGGGAAGAUAUGGAAAAAGAGGAACAGGUCUCCCUCUUGCUGCUCCCUGGUCUUUAGAAGAUUUUUCCUUGAGACGCUCCUGCCAACAUAAUUCCAUAGCAUCAUACAUCACAAAGACUGGAGAGUCAUUAGCUAUGAAAUUAAUCGGGAUGGAGGAAAGUAGAAUAAAAUCCUAGACCUCGGUGAAACUCAGGCUCAGCUGUGUCUACCCUCCAGGAUCCAGCCCUCUCAGAACCUCUUGGGCCAUUCCUGUUUCUGAGGGGGCACAGUGAGGGAGGCUGUUAUUUACCCCAGAAGACAUUAUGUUACUGCUGCUCAGGGACAGCACAGGAGACCAGGAGAACUGAAGGUUGAAUAUCUUGAGCACAAAAUAUCCCACGUGGGAGCUCCAGAGACUGUUGUGAGAGAAAGUAUUUAUCUGCCAGAGCCUCUUUCAGUUUAGGUGGAAGGUGACUGCUUCCACCCUUGGGGGAUAAAGAAUAGAGUUUGUUUUCACAUCUAUGCCUUGCUCAAUAUACAACCUUUAGGGAAUGCUGCCUUAAGAUUGUGAUAUGAUGAAGAAUAAAACAGGGAGCCAGAAUUUGUGUAAACCCCCA